rnacentral:rRNA from 1 species
UACAGGGGGUGCAAACGUUGCUCGGAAUCAUUGGGCGUAAAGCGCACGUAGGUGGUUUGUUAAGUCUGCUGUGAAAGCCCCGGGCUCAACCUGGGAAUGGCAGUGGAUACUGGCAAGCUAGAGUGCGGUAGAGGGGUGUGGAAUUCCCGGUGUAGCGGUGAAAUGCGUAGAGAUCGGGAGGAACACCAGUGGCGAAGGCGGCACCCUGGACCAGCACUGACACUGAGGCACGAAAGCGUGGGGAGCAAACAGG